rnacentral:rRNA from 1 species
AUGCACGCUGGCGGCGUGCCUCAUACAUGCCAGUCGAGCGAACAGAUAAGGAGCUUGCUCCUUUGACGUUAGCGGCGGACGGGUGAGUAACACGUGGAUAACCUACCUAUAAGACUGGGAUAACUUCGGGAAACCGGAGCUAAUACCGGAUAACAUAUUGAACCGCAUGGUUCAAUAGUGAAAGGCGGCUUUGCUGUCACUUAUAGAUGGAUCCGCGCCGUAUUAGCUAGUUGGUAAGGUAACGGCUUACCAAGGCAACGAUACGUAGCCGACCUGAGAGGGUGAUCGGCCACACUGGAACUGAGACACGGUCCAGACUCCUACGGGAGGCAGCAGUAGGGAAUCUUCCGCAAUGGGCGAAAGCCUGACGGAGCAACGCCGCGUGAGUGAUGAAGGUCUUCGGAUCGUAAAACUCUGUUAUCAGGGAAGAACAAAUGUGUAAGUAACUGUGCACAUCUUGACGGUACCUGAUCAGAAAGCCACGGCUAACUACGUG